rnacentral:rRNA from 1 species
UUGUAUCAGAAGUGCGAAUGCUGACAUGAGUAACGACAAUGGGUGUGAAAAACACCCACGCCGAAAGACCAAGGGUUCCUGCGCAACGUUAAUCGACGCAGGGUUAGUCGGUUCCUAAGGCGAGGCUGAAAAGCGUAGUCGAUGGGAAACAGCUUAAUAUUCCUGUACUUCUGGUUACUGCGAUGGAGGGACGGAGAAGGCUAGGCCAGCUUGGCGUUGGUUGUCCAAGUUUAAGGUGGUAGGCUGAAAUCUUAGGUAAAUCCGGGGUUUCAAGGCCGAGAGCUGAUGACGAGUCGUCUUUUAGAUGACGAAGUGGUUGAUGCCAUGCUUCCAAGAAAAGCUUCUAAGCUUCAGGUAACCAGGAACCGUACCCCAAACCGACACAGGUGGUCGGGUAGAGAAUACCAAGGCGCUUGAGAGAACUCGGGUGAAGGAACUAGGCAAAAUGGCACCGUAACUUCGGGAGAAGGUGCGCCGGCUAGGGUGAAGGAUUUACUCCGUAAGCUCUGGCUGGUCGAAGAUACCAGGCCGCUGCGACUGUUUAUUAAAAACACAGCACUCUGCAAACACGAAAGUGGACGUAUAGGGUGUGACGCCUGCCCGGUGCCGGAAGGUUAAUUGAUGGGGUUAGCGCAAGCGAAGCUCUUGAUCGAAGCCCCGGUAAACGGCGGCCGUAACAAUAACGGUCCUAAGGUAGCGAAAUUCCUUGUCGGGUAAGUUCCGACCUGCACGAAUGGCGUAACGAUGGCGGCGCUGUCUCCACCCGAGACUCAGUGAAAUUGAAAUCGCUGUGAAGAUGCAGUGUAUCCGCGGCUAGACGGAAAGACCCCGUGAACCUUUACUGUAGCUUUGCACUGGACUUUGAGCCUGCUUGUGUAGGAUAGGUGGGAGGCUUUGAAGCGUGGACGCCAGUUCGCGUGGAGCCAUCCUUGAAAUACCACCCUGGCAUGCUUGAGGUUCUAACUCUGGUCCGUAAUCCGGAUCGAGGACAGUGUAUGGUGGGCAGUUUGACUGGGGCGGUCUCCUCCUAAAGAGUAACGGAGGAGUACGAAGGUGCGCUCAGACCGGUCGGAAAUCGGUCGCAGAGUAUAAAGGCAAAAGCGCGCUUGACUGCGAGACAGACACGUCGAGCAGGUACGAAAGUAGGUCUUAGUGAUCCGGUGGUUCUGUAUGGAAGGGCCAUCGCUCAACGGAUAAAAGGUACUCCGGGGAUAACAGGCUGAUACCGCCCAAGAGUUCAUAUCGACGGCGGUGUUUGGCACCUCGAUGUCGGCUCAUCACAUCCUGGGGCUGAAGCCGGUCCCAAGGGUAUGGCUGUUCGCCAUUUAAAGUGGUACGCGGGCUGGGUUUAGAACGUCGUGAGACAGUUCGGUCCCUAUCUGCCGUGGACGUUUGAGAUUUGAGAGGGGCUGCUCCUAGUACGAGAGGACCGGAGUGGACGAACCUCUGGUGUUCCGGUUGUCACGCCAGUGGCAUUGCCGGGUAGCUAUGUUCGGAAAAGAUAACCGCUGAAAGCAUCUAAGCGGGAAACUUGCCUCAAGAUGAGAUCUCACUGGGAACUUGAUUCCCCUGAAGGGCCGUCGAAGACUACGACGUUGAUAGGCUGGGUAUGUAAGCGUUGUGAGGCGUUGAGCUAACCAGUACUAAUUGCCCGUGAGGCUUGACCG